rnacentral:lncRNA from 1 species
AUUCUCUGCCCAGCUUUGGUAAAAGUCUUGUUCAUCUCACACACAUAGUGCCUAAUAGCAGGCUUAACAGAACGAACAUAGCAGCUAAGACGCUUUCGAGCACACUUUGACAUCAUAAAUUUCUUUGAAUACAUCCAGUCGGCUUUAGAAUUAGGAUCAUAUCCUAACAAUAAAAGUAAAAUAAUUAAUUUCCUAUCUAUAGAAAGAAACACUUUGGAUUAUCUAGCAUUAGUCCUUACCAACUGAGUACUCUCUAGGGCAGUCACACACAUCCUUGCAUGUCUUCUGAACCUUCUUUUUCUUCAUACGGUAGCACAUGCCUCAAUAAUUCAACAAACAAAUGGCC